rnacentral:rRNA from 1 species
GACGAACGCUGGCGGCGUGCUUAACACAUGCAAGUCGAACGGAAAGGCCCUGCUUUUGUGGGGUGCUCGAGUGGCGAACGGGUGAGUAACACGUGAGUAACCUGCCCUUGACUUUGGGAUAACUUCAGGAAACUGGGGCUAAUACCGGAUAGGAGCUCCUGCUUCAUGGUUGGGGUUGGAAAGUUUCGGCGGUUGGGGAUGGACUCGCGGCUUAUCAGCUUGUUGGUGGGGUAGUGGCUUACCAAGGCUUUGACGGGUAGCCGGCCUGAGAGGGUGACCGGCCACAUUGGGACUGAGAUACGGCCCAGACUCCUACGGGAGGCAGCAGUGGGGAAUAUUGCACAAUGGGCGGAAGCCUGAUGCAGCAACGCCGCGUGAGGGAUGACGGCCUUCGGGUUGUAAACCGCUUUCGCCAGAGACGAAGCGUGAGUGACGGUAAUGGGUAAAGAAGCACCGGCUAACUACGUG